UAACUCGCGGUUUCGUUCUUCGGUUU
rnacentral:piRNA from 1 species